UCAAUCGAAUUAAAGAUUGUGAGCGCGCGCUCAUUCGUUUUCCAACACUGGCUGGGCGCUGUAAUUGGGUAUUCGAUAGUUGUUUAGGAGAAACUUAGACAGCAUUUGCAGUGCUGUUAAUUUCAGUUUUCAUAACGCUCUGGAACAAUUCAUCAACUCAUUUCACUCGUCAGUUUCAAUUUUUCUCCCUCAACAACAAAAAUUAUCCAAAAUAAAAAUCCAAAAAGUAUUUAAACACAUCAUAAAAUCCAAACCGAGCAAUUCUAUCAUCAUUUGUCGUUUUCCCCACAAAUUUUCGGCUCUUAAUUAAAAUUCGUCCAUAUAGACAAUAUAUAUAUGUAUACAUACACAUAUCUAUAUAUAUAUGUUUAUAUAUGCAGAUAGCCACAGACAAUUUUCGAUCAAGUCCAUUAGACGACGCUCGCAUUUUUCACAUAUCUACUGAACCAGCCAUCAUCAACAACAAAAUCGCAAGUGGGCCCCACCAGCUAAAUCAGAAGAGUUACGACCUACCAAACAAAACCAUCCAGAAACAAUUGAGUUAACAGUCACAAAAAGCUACAACGAGCAGCCGAGCAGUCGAGCAGUCGAGCAGCCGAGCAGCCCAGCAGCAGCCCAGCAGCAGCAGCUACAGUGAUCGAUAUUUUGACUCAAGAGGAACCUUCUUCUGCCAUACUUGAACAGGCUGCUCUUCGUUUCAUCCCAGAUAAGCACCGACACACCUGACGGCGCAUCGUUAUCACAACACUGCAAACUGAAUAUAUUGCGCAACUGUUGACUUGUCUUACACUCUGUCUGGCCACUGAAAACGCUGUGCAACAACAACAAGAAAAAAGAAAACAAUUACCAAUAGCCAGGCCCAAACCGUAACAGUUAUCCAUCUAUCAAAGCUAGCAGGAAUCUGUUUUCACCUAAUUUGGCCAAAUUGAC